rnacentral:misc_RNA from 1 species
CGGCGGUGCCGUUGCGACGCCGCUCAGCGGCGGUGCCCUCCGCCUAUGGUAACUACGCUAUGUUGCUAUGGUUACCGGAUUGUUUUGUUUUGUUUACUUUCUUUCGGCUCGAUUUUGACAAUGUCUGGCUAGAAUCUGAAUAAUUACGAAAGAUAAAGACGAAAGAUGUGAUUGAUGACUUGCAAAAAUGUUGUUUGAGUGAAAAGGAAGAAUUUUGGCUAUGAAUUUAAGCAUGAACACUGUUCGUUACGCCGGAGAGUGACAAUUUGUCGGUAAGCACUAAAUCGUACCAAAUGUCGGAUGUUAUUGUGAAGCGCUUUGCUUAUUAUUCUGAAAUUAUCGUGAUACGACUGACCAAUGUUAUGAUACGGAUUUAUUUGUCUGGAACUUACCUUGUUUCGUUUGUGUGUAUGCGUGUUUUAGUUACGGCUCAAGGCUCCUGGCUCCUGUUGUACGAGGCUCUGUCUGGCCAUGGCGGUACGCGGCUGAUUCAGGCUCAGGCCGUUAGCGCUGGAAGAAGGAGGAGGAAUGGAGGAGAAAAUAUAGAGGACUGAGAGCCCGUGAACGACGUUUCUCAUUGACGGCGCGCGAACAUUUAGUAACGACAAAUUUCAAGAAUGCGACUUCAAGAACGGCAGCGGAAACAGCGAGUUCUCCAGCGCCAUCAGACUUCAAGUUCUACAACGCGAUAAGUGCCACAAUGCCACUAGUUUCAGCAGCUUGCUUUGAUGCUGUCGCCAUUUGCGCAUUGCAUUGCCUACCAGAUAAACUCCACGGUGACUAUAUAAACUCUUGCUUUGAAAAACACUAUUCGUCAGUGUUAAUGCUCGUGGAACAUUCGUUGACUGUUGCCGUUGGUACGACUGGCAGCCUGCGCCGACUGCGCUAGAAGUACGAGUGUACUAUUGGUACUAAAUGGUACCGAUGAUCAGUGUUGCCAUGUUGAACUGUUGCCAUUGGUACAAGUGCAGUGUACCCAUGUUGUGCAUAGAACGGUGCUGCCGUUGGUACGUUUCGCAGCCUGGCCAGAUAUAACCUGAUCGACGCAUGUUGUGUACGGUACGGUGUUGCCUUACAUUUUGCCGCCAGGGAAUGUGAACUUUGAUGAUAGGCUUGAUUUGGUACAACAUGAUGUUGCCUUGGUACGUUCCACAGCCAGGCAAUAUGAGCUUUGACAAUGGGUUUCUUUUGGUACCACAUGAUGCUGCCAUUGGUAGGUACAUUUGACAGUCAGACGAUUUGAACAUUGACAGUUAUAUGCUUCUUGGGUACAAUAUGGUACUGCCAUUGGUACAUUUCGCGGAACAUUGACACGAGAUGCACCCGACUAUGACAGCUGCUGUUUAUCAGUGCUGAACACAUUUGGCAUUACGCUUUCACAUGCACAUAGGUAUAUUAACAUACAUCAGCUAUGGACAUUGACAUCGAGAAACUGGUAGUGCGGGACCUGAAGCGUGAGCUGGACGCCCGCGGAGAAGAUUCCAGAGGGACCAAAGCUGUUCUGAAGGAGCGGUUGGCGCAAGUUCUGAGAGAAGAGGCGUGCUACAAGAAAGCGGUGAUGCCCGAUGAAGAUGCAAGAAGUCAAGCCGAUGUUGAUCCAGAGUCGAUCGCAAGAAAGGAAGCGUUUCAGAUGGACGUAAGAAGUCACGAUGGUACUGAUGCAAGAUCAGUCAAGUCGACGUCCAGCAGAGCAUCUGUCACGUCACAGAGAGCUACUGAAGCGGCCAGAUUAGCCGGACUGAAGGCGAAGAUGAAUGCAUUGAAGCAGAAACAUGAACUUGAGGAACAGAUAGAAAACUUGCGCAGAAAACAAGAGGAAGUGCAACUGCUGGCUGAACUAAAGGAGUGUGAAGCCAAAGAAGCUGUGCUAGCACGAUUUGAAGCACUUGAACAUGAAGAGGACAAUGAAGUUGGAAAUGAACAUAAGCAAGAUGAUGAAGCACAUGAAAGUGCACAAGAUGAAAUGAAACAUGACAAGAAACAAGACAAUGAAACGAAAGAAGACAUAUAUGCAGGUGCAGGAAGAGCAUCUCAUGACAAGUCGGCUGGCUCAGUUCAGCAAAUGGAUCUCAACACAACGGACAGGCUGGUGAUGAGAAGAAUCGGACUUCAGUCAUUGGAGUUACGUGCGUUUGAUGGAACCGACGAAGACUUUCUACCAUUCAUCACAGCUUUCCAGUCUAACAUUGCAUGUAGGCUGGACAGGGAAGAAGAGAAGCUGAUGUACCUGUUGCAGCUGACCAAAGGUAAGCCUCAUGACAUUGUAGCCACCUGCGUCUACCUGGGUGAUGAUGGUUACAGUGAAGCUAUUCGUCUACUCAACGUGAGAUAUGACAAUGUGAUGAAGUCCAGAGCAUCAGUGAUCGAGAAGAUUCAAAACUACCCGCGCGUGAGAUAUGAAUAUGUGAACGGCCUUGAUGACUACUCAGUGUUUCUGCGAGGUGCUCUCAACGCUCUUCACUCACCUGCUUUGGCAGACAGUGGGUUUGAUUCAUGGAUGAUCUGCCAGGCCAUUCAGAAGACGCCGUGGGUCGCUGAUCGCUGGCGCAGAGCGGUCGACAGGAUCGAACAGGAUCAGAGACGAGACAGAAGAGAAGACGGAGAAAGGAAGAGGACUGACCAGAGGCAGGUCAGUUUCAGAGACUUCGUAGAGUUCAUCGAAUCAGAAGCAAGAAUCGCGUCCAACCCUGUCUAUGGAAGACAUGUUCUCAGUGCUCAAGAGAAGAAGGACACACGACCGCAAGCCACGACCGUGCAGAAAGCACAGCAGCCUGCAAGAAAGGAGAUGAAGAAUCGGGAGCAUCAGCUCCGCCAAGAACGAAGAAGUCGAGCUUACGCAAGCAACAUGAAGCAACCGGCCAAGUGUGCCUACUGCGAGCAUCCUCAUGACCUGGAGACUUGCAGAGCUUUCGGAGCGAAGACUGAGGAAGAGAAGACUGACUACAUACGUCAACAUGGACUAUGUUUCGGCUGCUUACAGGAAGGACAUAUCUCCAAGAACUGUCAGAAACGAAGCCGCUGUAAGAAGUGCGAGAAGUCGCAUCCUACAAGUAUGCACAGAGAUGCGCUGCCCAACGCCAACGUCGUGACGGCAGGACAUGUGUCACAAGAGUGUGAAGGCGGUGGAAAGCUGCAGGUGCUUCCAGUAUCAGCCAACGUCAAGGAACGGUCCGUGCUGACUGGAGCCUUCAUAGAUCCUGGCAGUACGCACUCAUUCAUCUCACGUAAGCUGGCAAGUCAGUUAGGCAUUCAACCAGACGAGAAGACAUAUGUAGUCAUGUCCACCAUCAAUGGAGAGCGAAGAAUGAAGACCUCGUUGGUCACUGGUGUCAGUAUUGGAACUGAAGAUGGUGGCAACCAAGUUGAACUUCCAGCGUUGUAUGUUCUAGAGCACAUACCGGUGGAAAAGCAAGACAUCGUACGACAAGAAGACAUCAGCAAGUGGCCACAUCUCCGACAACGUGGAGUUGAAGCUGGUUUUACUGAGAAGACGACAUCAAGAGAGAUCGGCCUGCUCAUCGGUGCAAACGCCAGCGUGGUGUCAGAACCAUUGGAAGUGGUGAGCUGCCCAGGCCAGAAGGGCCCCUACGCCGUCAGAACCAGAUACGGUUGGCUGGUCUGUGGCGUUGAGGGGAAGAGGGGACCAGGUGCACACGUCGCGCGUGUCAACCGCAUCAAGAUGCUGGAAGAUCCCGAGCUCGAGUUCCUUGACAGCCAUGAUAGUCGCAGAGGCUACUCAGUCGAGGACGUCAAGUGGUGCCUCAAGGUGGAAGAUACAUGCAAGAAGGACGGAGAGAAGUACGAAAUCGGUCUGCCAUUCCGAGAUGCGAAACCCGAUCUGCCAGACAACAGAGUGAUGGCAGCAAGACGACUGGAAUCACUGAGAAGAAAGUUCGAGAAGGAUCCAAGAUAUGCAGCUGACUACAAGGAGCAGAUGAAGAAGCUUCUGGAGGAAGGAUAUGCUGAGGAAGCAGCACCAGACUCAGAAGAAGGAAAAGAAGAGCGCUGGUAUAUCCCGCACCAUGGGGUGUAUCACCCGACCAAAAACAAGCUUAGAGUAGUUUUUGAUUGCAGCGCGUCAUACAAUGGAGUGAGUCUAAAUGACGUACUCAUGCAAGGCCCGAACCUGACGAACUCCCUGGUGGACGUGCUAGUCCGCUUCCGACAAGAGACGGUAGCCUUUACCGGUGACAUCGAGUCCAUGUUUCUUCAGGUGAUGGUACCGGAGAGCGACAGGAACUAUCUGAGCUUCCUGUGGUGGCCAGAAGGCGACACUUCUUCAACACCACGUGUCUUCAGGAUGACAAGACAUCUGUUCGGAGCGACAUCCAGUCCCAGUUGCGCGAACUACGCUCUUCAUCGGACGGCAGAAGACUUCGGCACAGGAUACACCCCCGAAGUGAAGAAGACACUGCAAAGAAGUUUCUAUGUGGAUGACGUAUGCCAAUCGACGACGUCAGAAGCCUCCGCUGCGAAGAUGGCGCAGGACCUGAAGCAGCUGUGCAGCAUGGGUGGCUUCCGACUCACGAAGUUCAACUCCAACAGCACCGAAGUUCUGAGAGCGCUAUCAGAAGAUGACAAGGGAAAGACUGAAACUCACCUUGGACAGGAAACCUCUUCAAGCGAGAGAGUCUUAGGUGUACUCUGGGAUACUCACAGGGAUGAGCUUGGAUUCAGCAUCGACGUAGACGCUCUCAACAGAAGACCACGUACUCGACGCGGAAUACUCUCCGCGACCGCAGCCUGUUACGACCCGUUAGGCCUGGCUGCUCCUCGCGUUCUUCAAGGACGGAUGAUUCUUCAGGAACUGACGCGUCUACGAACCGGCUGGGACGAUGACAUUCCCAAUGAAGUUGAAGAAGAAUGGAACAGAUGGCUGAAUGGGUUGAAGUCCCUGCCAGACGUUCGCGUGCCAAGAUGUUAUGAUCCGUAUGGCAUAAGUGCCGCGGAUGCAGUGAGUCUGCACCACUUCAGUGACGCCAGUCUGAAGGGCUAUGGCACCGCGUCAUACAUACGCACUGUGCGCGGAGAUGGUGAAGUGUUCGUUUCCCUGGUUCUUAGCCGAGGCCGAGUCGCUCCGCUCAAGGCGAUUACGGUCCCGCGUCUUGAACUAGCCGAAGCCAAGCUUGCCGUAGACGUGAACCAAGAGCUCUUGCGAGCACUGGACAUGAGGAUCCAUGACGUCACCUUUUGGACGGAUAGCACGACCGUGUUGCGUUACAUCGAGAACGAGACCUCGCGCUAUCACAUCUAUGUGGCGAAUCGACUUGCUGCGAUACACGCUGGAUCGAAGAACGAACAGUGGCGGUACGUACCCUCGUCGCUGAAUCCUGCUGACAUGGUUUCAAGAGGAGUACUGCAAGACAGCGACAUGUGGUACAACGGUCCGCCAUUUCUCAGGAGCUCACAGGAGAAUUGGCCAAGGUCUCCGUGCGUCGGUGAGAUUCACCCGGAUGACCCGGAAGUGAAGCAAGCGAAGACAAGUUCGGCAACUGUCGUUGUGCAGAACGAGAAGGCUGACAACUCCAGCGCCAAUCCCAUCGAUCGUCUGAUUGAAUAUCAUUCGUCAUGGAAGAGACUCACGAGAGCGGUGGCAUGGAUCCGCCGAACGAUCAAGACUCUGCAGCUGAAGGCCAGAGACGAGCAGGGAGCCUCGAAUGCGAGGGAGCUCACUCCUGCUGACAUAGAAGAUGCCGAGAGGAUCAUCGUGAAGCAUGUUCAGAAAACUCAUAUUCUGCAAGAACUGACUGACCUGGGAGUGGGACGUGAGGUGCGAUGUGCCAGUCGUCUGUCGCGGCUGAGCCCAUUCGUGGAGGACGGUCUCAUCAGGAUGCGCGGACGCUUGAUGAACUCUGCGUUGGACUGGGCUGCCAAGCAUCCUCUGAUUCUCCCAGACAAGGACAAGGUAACUGACCUGAUCAUCGCUGAUCGUCACGAGAGGGCAGGACACGAAGGACGUCAGUAUGUUCUUUCUGAACUCAGGACUCGAUACUGGGUACUGAAAGGGAACAGCGCAGUACGACGGUGUUUGCACAGAUGUGUGAAGUGCAGAAGACGACAGCGCCCAGUUGAGGGACAGAAGAUGGCAGACUUGCCACAGGAUCGUGUAGAGGAGGCCACUCACCCGUUCAGUAACACUGGUGUAGAUUACUUCGGGCCGCUAUACGCCAAGAGAGGUAGAGGUCAGGUGAAGAAGUUUGGAGUUAUUUUCACAUGCCUCAGCACGAGAGCCGUGCAUCUCGAGCUCGCAGACAGCCUUUCUGCGGACUCAUUCAUUUGUGCCUUGCGCCGCUUCAUUGCAAGACGCGGUAACGUUCGCCUGAUGCGUUCCGACAGGGGAACGAACUUCACAGCAGCAGACAAGGAGCUGAAGGAAGAAGUUGAUGCACUGCACGCGAACGAAGAGAAGUUGAAGAGAGCGAUGCUGGACAAGGGCAUCGAGUGGAUGUUCAACGUUCCUGCCGCUUCCCACCACGGCGGUGUGUGGGAGCGUCUCAUCAGAGGCGUCCGGAAGAUCCUGAAUGGUCUGUUAACCAGCCAAACAUUCACAGAAGAGACGUUGCACACACUCUUGUGCGAAACCGAGUGCAUCAUGAACAAUCGGCCGCUGGUGCCGGUUUCGUCGGACCCUCGUGACGAGGUGCCUCUGACUCCGAAUCACAUCCUGCAUUUGAAGUGUGUGACACCGGUAUGUGAUUCUUCAAAUGAAGAUGACCUGGAUGGACCCAAGAGAUGGCGACAAGCUGCUUACCUAGCUGAGCAGUUUUGGCGUUCGUGGAGACGACUAUACUUGCCUCUCCUGCAGCAGCGAUCUCGCGCUGCCACGAGAAGUCGGACGAACCUGCGGAUCGGUGACGUCGUCGUCAUGGUAGACGAAUCGGUACCACGCGGUGUGUGGCCGCUGGGUCUCGUGAAGGAGACCCUGAUUGGUAAGGACGGGCGUGUGCGCUCUGUGAAGGUCCGCGCUCGAGGAACCAUGUUUCUGAGACCUGUCACGAAGGUAGUGAAGAUUCUGGGCGCAGAAGAGCAGUCUUGGUGAAGCGAUGGAGCUGCAGCUACACUGUAUAAGACAGCAUGAGUCUAGCAGCACACCGCUAAGUCAUUAACACCGGACACUUAAGAUCAUGACACGCCACACAGGCUCAUGACACAAUCACAAUGAUAGACAUCAGGAACGGUGCAUGUAUAAUGUAUAUAGGAUGCGUUCUACUUGCGUGUGUUGAUGCUGAUCUCAGCGACGCUUGUUUCGGUAGGCUGUGUAGUGUGCCUAUGUGUUGUUAUAUGUAUAGUUAAGAAGUUGGUUUUGAACCUGGAUGGUUCAAAGGGGGCGGGUGUUAGCGCCGCACGGCCCCAGCGGCGGUGCCGUUGCGACGCCGCUCAGCGGCGGUGCCCUCCGCCUAUGGUAACUACGCUAUGUUGCUAUGGUUACCGGAUUGUUUUGUUUUGUUUACUUUCUUUCGGCUCGAUUUUGACAAUGUCUGGCUAGAAUCUGAAUAAUUACGAAAGAUAAAGACGAAAGAUGUGAUUGAUGACUUGCAAAAAUGUUGUUUGAGUGAAAAGGAAGAAUUUUGGCUAUGAAUUUAAGCAUGAACACUGUUCGUUACGCCGGAGAGUGACAAUUUGUCGUUACGGCUCAAGGCUCCUGGCUCCUGUUGUACGAGGCUCUGUCUGGCCAUGGCGGUACGCGGCUGAUUCAGGCUCAGGCCGUUAGCGCUGGAAGAAGGAGGAGGAAUGGAGGAGAAAAUAUAGAGGACUGAGAGCCCGUGAA